GGAACUACUUGGCAGGCUCUUACAGCCAGAACUUGCUGGUGGUUUGACCACAUGCGUGCUCAACAUGUUUCUACAACACGCUGAAGAAACCAUGACACCCAUCCAUCUUCUAACCACCUGUCUAGAGGCUUCACAACUGGCUCACAAGGCAAAGGAAGACUGGAAAAUCAGCAGUGAUUGGCUCCUGAGGACCCCGAUUUGAACAGCCCUGAUGAUAGGUUCCAGGCUCACCAAAUCACUGCACUGGCUAAGUGGCUGUGGAAAGUGGAUGUAUGGGUUUGUAAUAUACCUCAAAGCUAAACAUCUGACCAGUUCUAUUUAAGUCAGACUGUGAUGUGAUUGUGAUGUCUAACUAAACUCAACAUCCAUUUUAUGAUUUAAAUGGUGAUUUUUAUCAUUUUUAUAAUAACGACCAUGUCAUCUUCUUGUUUACGUUUGGUUAAACUUGUCGCAGGGCUGCAUGCACCUGGGAUCACCCAGGGCAGGAAUGAUGCAUCCUACCACACCAUAAGCUCCUGCGGGUUGGCUGAGAGCCACCUGGCUCAGGAGAUGCUGGAGUGGCGUUCGGCUAGUGCCACUCUGCUGAAGCUCUGUUCAUGCCAUGCUUCAGAGAGCAAGCAAGGGACGUGGCUUCACCUGAACUGAGGUGAACCAAUGGCCAGGUUCAGCAACCGGUUCUUCUCUGAGGCUGUGAGGACACUAAAUAUCCUGCUGCCCACCUGACCCCCCCCACCCCCUGUUUCGGAGAAUACUCAU